UCUUUGAAGCCGGCCUGUAAGGGAUCCGGUGGAGAGAUCACUAGUGAGAAUGAUGACAUGAGUAGCGACAAAGAGUGUGAGAGACACUCUCGCCGAAAGUCCAAGGGUUCCUGCUUAAAGCUAAUCUGAGCAGGGUAAGCCGACCCCUAAGGCGAGGCCGAAAGGCGUAGUCGAUGGGAACCACGUUAAUAUUCGUGGGCCUGAUGGUAGUGACGGAUUGCGAGUGUCGUUCGAUCUUAUUGGAUUGAUCGGGCGGCUUAGCGGUUCCAGGAAACAGCUCCAUCAUUAUAGACCGUACCCGAAACCGACACAGGUGGACUGG
rnacentral:rRNA from 1 species